UACGGAGGGGGCUAGCGUUGUUCGGAAUUACUGGGCGUAAAGCGCACGUAGGCGGCUCUGUAAGUUAGAGGCGAAAGCCCGGGGCUCAACUCCGGAAUUGCCUUUAAGACUGCAUCGCUAGAAUUGUGGAGAGGUAAGUGGAAUUCCGAGUGUAGAGGUGAAAUUCGUAGAUAUUCGGAAGAACACCAGUGGCGAAGGCGACUUACUGGACACAUAUUGACGCUGAGGUGCGAAAGCGUGGGGAGCAAACAGG
rnacentral:rRNA from 1 species